CUUCCAGAGGAUGAACAAGGUUUGCAGGAUAUUGGACUAAGUCAGAGAUGGAUGAACACCCUCAGUGGAGUGGGCCAUGGAUUCCUCAAGAUCUCUGAAAGGCUUCCCCUUGCUUACUGACUGCACCUUUAUCUUACCCAAGUUGAGUUUCAGCCAGCUGUUAAUCACCUGGACAUAUGUUUCUUCGCAGCACUAAGGUCUCAGGAGUGUGGGAGAAGCUGUGGAAGGAGUGCAUAAACUGCAUGGCAACCUCCCAGUAAAUUAGGUUCCUGAAAGCUGCAGGAGCAUACUGACUUUGUUUGGACUGCUUUAAUUCUCUGCCUGCCCACCUGCCCUGCCACGCAACACCUUGAGCAGCA